ACACCUUACUAACAAGCUUUCCAUGCUUAUAAUGCAUCAUAUAUUUGUUGUUUUUCAAAUUUCAGACAAAGUUAAUAUUGUUCGAUUUGAAAUUUUGACAUUUUCAGCAUGAUACCACUGUCACAACCUUGGAACAUCCUUUAAAAAGACAACUUUUUUCCAAAAAAUUGAAAUUUUUGAAUAUUUGUCAUGAAUUAAAAUUGUUUCAAAUUCCUAUUUCAGAUUGACUGUAGACCACUGGUGAUUUGUCGAAGAUUCGGUACCAUUCGAUUAAGAAUUCUACGAGUUAAUGAGCUUAACUUGAAGACAGUCUGUAAACAAUUUGAAGACGAAAUAUAAGAUUGACUGUAGACCACUGGUGAUUUGUCGAAGAUUCGGUACCAUUCGAUUAAGAAUUCUACGAGUUAAUGAGCUUAACUUGAAGACAGUCUGUAAACAAUUUGAAGACGAAAUAUAAGAUUGACUGUAGACCACUGGUGAUUUGUCGAAGAUUCGGUACCAUUCGAUUAAGAAUUCUACGAGUUAAUGAGCUUAACUUGAAGACAGUCUGUAAACAAUUUGAAGACGAAAUAUAAGAUUGACUGUAGACCACUGGUGAUUUGUCGAAGAUUCGGUACCAUUCGAUUAAGAAUUCUACGAGUUAAUGAGCUUAACUUGAAGACAGUCUGUAAACAAUUUGAAGACGAAAUAUAAGAUUGACUGUAGACCACUGGUGAUUUGUCGAAGAUUCGGUACCAUUCGAUUAAGAAUUCUACGAGUUAAUGAGCUUAACUUGAAGACAGUCUGUAAACAAUUUGAAGACGAAAUAUAAGAUUGACUGUAGACCACUGGUGAUUUGUCGAAGAUUCGGUACCAUUCGAUUAAGAAUUCUACGAGUUAAUGAGCUUAACUUGAAGACAGUCUGUAAACAAUUUGAAGACGAAAUAUAAGAUUGACUGUAGACCACUGGUGAUUUGUCGAAGAUUCGGUACCAUUCGAUUAAGAAUUCUACGAGUUAAUGAGCUUAACUUGAAGACAGUCUGUAAACAAUUUGAAGACGAAAUAUAAGAUUGACUGUAGACCACUGGUGAUUUGUCGAAGAUUCGGUACCAUUCGAUUAAGAAUUCUACGAGUUAAUGAGCUUAACUUGAAGACAGUCUGUAAACAAUUUGAAGACGAAAUAUAAGAUUGACUGUAGACCACUGGUGAUUUGUCGAAGAUUCGGUACCAUUCGAUUAAGAAUUCUACGAGUUAAUGAGCUUAACUUGAAGACAGUCUGUAAACAAUUUGAAGACGAAAUAUAAGUUUCACAGCUCCACGCAUUCUUUAAUGGCAGGCAUUUUAAAUAACUGGAAAUGGCUUGGAAAAUCAAUUGUGGUCUUGUCUCCGAUCCACGGCCAAGGGAAAAUCAAGUCAUCAAAAAAGUUAGAUUUUUCGCAUCAAAUCAGAGUUAUUAGUACUUUUCUGCUAUGAAAUAAGUCUUCAGACAAUAAGCUAUCAUUUGAAUAAUGAAAAGUGCUGUUUUGAUGGGGAAAAUAGGGUUUUUUAAACCAAAUAGCCGGGCACCGAUCUUCCAAAAUUAGCGAUGGUUUCAAAACAGUCUCCCAGAUAUGGGGCAAUCUCUUCAUUAUCAUAAUGGGAUUUGGAGGCAUGUUUACAGAUUUUACAAGUUCGAGACCUGUAAUACCUAAAACUCGCAUAGAUCCCCAUAGAUCCCCUCUAUUUGUCGAGUUAGCGCCCCUGUAAGAUCAUGCAUUUUCGGACACUAGAACGAAAUCUUCCUGCGGAUAUCGCGGUUUCGGUGAUGAUUUAAGGAGAAACUGACUGUUCUUAGAGUUGUAUGGGACAGAAAUGAGUCAUACUUCAUGAAUACAUGAAUAUAUUAUGAUAUGGGCGGGCUUCUAAGUCAAAACAAUAACAAACUCAACUGCAUCUCUACUGUAUAUUGCGUAGUGCAUUGCCUAGUGUAUUUCGUAGUGUAUUUUAGCGGAGACAUUAUUUCCGCACUUUGGCCACGUCAAACGUCUUUUUUAUUCGUGGAAGUUAAUCUGCUCUGUAAAUUUUAUUUUACACAGGAAGAAUCCAUACUAGGUAUUGCAAUAUUUCAUGUCUAUUGGUGUUUUUGUGUACAGGAGCGCACCAGACAGUGAGACAUGGAGGUUGUGUUCAGUGCUGGUGCUGUCAGUAGACUGAAUCUGAUUGGCCAUAGCGAUCACUAAUAUGGGUCGGGAUCACGUGAUGUGACGUCACCGCGGUAUCCUCCUUGAUUAAUGCUUUUGGUAUUUGAUGUUGUUGGUCUGAUGUCAUUGGUGAAGAAUGUCAUGAUUUCUGUCUCAAAAGGGAAAUUUCGAGAAGGACACUACAUGUAUGCCAUCUACUAUACAGGGUGAUAAAAAGACCUGUAAUCCUGAUAGAAGGGGUUAAUACUAGUGUAACAAAAUUUGUCUUUCACCUCUUCGUUCCAUCUAGGACAACUCCUGGGUCCGUAUUUUACAUGCACCCGCUGUGCAGCAAGUACCUGUUUUCCAGGUCGGGAUUUUGUAUACAACCGGACCAUUUUUACUGGAGCAAAUUUUCGUGUUGGAAGUCUAUUUUCAUCAAAACUGCGCCAAGUUAGACUGUCAAGCUUUAGGGAUACAUUUGUCCUUGGGGGAUCUAUUGAUUUAGAGCCUCCUGGUAAGUUGUUAAGUUGGUGAACGCUUGUAUUUCACCAUUUCUUAGGUUGCGAUUUGCGACUUUCUGAAAGCUGUCCUCCGUGUUGGAUGACGUCAGACCUCCACAUUGUUUUGGAUUGUCAGUGACGAACUUUGCAAAGUGUUUUAAAUCAGGUAAAUGUUGGUGUAAAAGUUAUUUCAAAGGCAUGAUUUAUUUCAAAUUCAUAAAUAUCUGUAGCAUCUUUUGGUGUCAUUUUCAAAGCUGUGACUUUUUGGAAUCUCUUGUACUUUGGGCCUAAAGUUGGCACAUGUUUCAAAACGUGUUUGUUUUGAUCAUUUCGAGGGUCUGUAGGGCUUGAUUGCAGAAUCCCUGACAAAUGCUUCAAAGAGAGGUUUUGGUUAGGGUUAGCUAUAGAACAUUUUGGAAGUGAUGGUCAUUUUGUACGGGAUCCUGCAGUAGUGCCGUCUGUAGUCCGUGGGUGACCCCCGUGGAUUCUGUAUAAAACCCUAAUCGGCUGGAAUCAGCUGGGCGUGAGAAUAGAUCGGGUGCUAGUAGGUACCCGAAUCACAGGCCUAAUCCCUUAUCUGACCUGUUUUAGCAUGGGAAUGUUCAUAAAUCAACAAUUUUCAAAUCGCUGUGAAAAAAUUACUAUUCCAGGCUAAUUCUUUGAAUUGCAAUAAAACGUUCAUCAUCUUAAACUUGCUAAUUCACUCUUUCUUAUGCUGCUUGCCGUUUUUGGCUCACCGUUAGGGGAGUCUAUACGAUAGCCCUGUGUCCGUCGUCGUCCGUAUCCUGUGUGGCACGUUUCUUAACCGCUUGACCCAGAAAGUUCAUACUUGGUG